UCUCUGCACCUUGAUCUAACACAGAAAUAAAAGCAUAUAGCUAGUGAAAAUAAACAAACAGUCAUAAAUUUUUUGAAAAUGUCAGAACAAGCAAAUUAAAUUCCAAUCCGAGUUGUUUCAACUAUCAUUCCAAACAGUAUAAUUUGAAGUAAAUUUUUAAUUUAUUCAAUACAGGAUGAGCUGCUCUCUAGCAUUCGCUAUAUUUUGGAUAGUAGGAAUGUCGUGGAUCCUGUAUCACUGGAUUUACGGAGGAAAGCCAAAGACUACGUGUGAAAAUUCUAGGAAGGUAGCUUUCAAUGUUAGAGCGAAUAAUAAAUGCAGAAAAUGGAGCACCACAUCUGUCGAGUCAUGGGAUAUUUCUGAUAACGAAGAUUCUGCAUUUAUAGAGAAUAAUGAACUUGGGGCAGACCCUGUGUUGUCUAAUUGAUAUUGAAAAUAUUUGUUGCAAUUUCAUAUCAAAUCAUCGAGUCCACAGCUUGUUCUUAGUAUUCUGAAAUUGGUCCUUCAACAACUGAAGUCUUCAGCUUUGAGAAAAUUUUAAUCUUACCCAAGCCAAAAAUUCUGAGGGCUCAUUUGAGUUGACAUGACUCAGCUUUGGCGACAUAAAAUGAUGGAGAGAAGCUGUGAGCUAUUAUAGGUAAAAUUUUUGUGGUUUCAACCCUUGGAGAUGAUGAGUCUUCGAUCAAGCAGCUAACAUCACACCUUUAACAAGUUCAUUGAAAUCUAUCAAUGCUUGCUUUUUAAUGUUCGGAUUAAACAUUCAAUAGCUUUUUCAUUAUAUUUUUCGAUACAUAUUCUCAGACUUUGGGUGAAGUUUUCAAGAAUAAUCUAGAUGCAGAACGGACAGCUGCACGUAGCGCACUGGUUAAAUCAGGAAUUUAGAGCAUAAGGCCUCGCGCCAUGCUCAUACUAUAUUAGAAUCUAAUGAUUUCAACUUGUAUUCUAUAAGCUGUUUCAACUCUCCGAUAAUAAAGGUUUACUCAGUUACACUUAUAAUUUACUAUUUGAAUGUAUUGUUAACAAGUAUGUGACGACACAGAAUAUAAAGCGAAGUGAGCGGAUUAAAUUCUAAGCCAAACGUUUUGUUCAUGUUUCUCAAAUCACAGAAAUUCAGAUCGUCAUACCAUCUAGGGUUGAUCCAGACCAAAUUGGUAACUGGACAUGAGGAAGAUUCGAAAUUUCAAACGUUCAUCUUCUAACGACAUAUUACUAAUGAUAUUUAUAAUUAUAAUAAUA
rnacentral:misc_RNA from 1 species